rnacentral:rRNA from 1 species
AUGGGCCCUCUUGUGGUAGACCCACAUGUCAUCGGUGUAACUAUUUACACUCCGGAGGACGGUGCCUAUAUCCUGGUAGUAGUACUAGUAGAACUGACAUUUAAUGCACUUUCUUCCCCGUCUUCCACUCUUCUUCCUCCUCUCUUCUUCUUCCUCCUCUCUUCCCCAUCAUUGGCUGCACACCAUUUACCCCCGCUCACUGCUCGCCCGCCCGCGCCAUCUUCCUUGGUAGCUCGCACAGAUUCGUCGACACAGCUUGUUGCCAGUUUGAAGGACUCCUCUGGUUUGAAGGAUAGACACCUUCCUGGGAUCAAGUGCAUCCUAACUCACCUGCUACCAUAUAACUGGAAUUACCGAUGCAAGUCGAAGAAGGAUUGGCCGGUGCUGCCGGCUGGCGUCAAGUUCGAUCCCACGGAUCAGGAGCUGAUCGAGCACCUUGAGGCCAAAGUGAGUGUUGACAGCGCGAGAUUUCAGUCUCUCAUCGAUUUGUUCAGACCAACCAUCGAAAGCGAGCACGGCAUAUGCUACACCCAACCUGAGAAACUUCCAGGUAUCACACUGAGUGGCCUAAGGAAGCAUUUCUUCCAGCGCAAUUCCAGGGCGUUCAAAAGGGGCACGUGGACGCGUCGCAAGAUACAGUCGGAGUGCGACACACACGCGAUGUGGCACAAGACCGGCAAUACCUUGCCUGUGAUGGUCAACGGCCGGAAGACGGGCAGCAAAAAAGGUUCUAGUGCUGCACACCAACAAGAACUUCGACCAACAAAGGACCAACUGGGUGAUGCGCCAGUACCACAUCGGGGACCUGGAGCAAGAGAAGGAGUGGGAGCUGGUCGAGCAAGUUUCAACUGGGUUGUAGACUGA